AACGUAGGACGCAAGCGUUAUCCGGAGUUACUGGGCGUAAAGCGCGGGCAGGCGGUUCUUUAAGUCUGACGUGAAAGCUCCCGGCUUAACCGGGAGAGGCCGUUGGAAACUAGGGAACUGGAGAGCAGCAGAGGUGGGCGGAAUUCCGGGUGGAGUGGUGAAAUGCGUAGAGAUCCGGAGGAACACCAGAGGCGAAGGCGGCCCACUGGGCUGCAUCUGACGCUGAGCCGCGAAAGCCAGGGGAGCGAACGGG
rnacentral:misc_RNA from 1 species